rfam:Strigamia maritima strain Brora ctg7180001234176, whole genome shotgun sequence.
UCCCAGGUAGCUUAAUGGUAAAGCACCCAACCGGCAAUUGGGAGAUCUGGGUUCAAGUCCCAGUCUGGGCU